CCCUUAGAUGUCCGGGGCCGCACGCGCGCUACACUGAAGGAAUCAGCGUGGCUUUCUCCCUGACCCGAAAGGGUUGGGAAACCUGUUGAAUCUCCUUCGUGAUAGGGAUUGGGGCUUGAAAUUGUUCCCCAUGAACGAGGAAUUCCCAGUAAGCGCGAGUCAUAAGCUCGCGUUGAUUACGUCCCUGCCCUUUGUACACACCGCCCGUCGCUACUACCGAUUGAACGGUUUAGUGAGGGCCUCGGAUUGGUCUCGGCCCGCUCUUUACCGGGCGGCGCCGUUGGUCGAGAAGACGCUCGAACUUGAUCGUUUAGAGGAAGUAAAAGUCGUAACA
rnacentral:rRNA from 1 species